AUUAGAGUUUGAUCCUGGCUCAGGACGAACGCUGGCGGCGUGCUUAACACAUGCAAGUCGAACGGAAGUUGUGAGGAAGCUUGCGAAUCACAACUUUAGUGGCGGACGGGUGAGUAACGCGUGGAUAACCUGCCUUGAUGACCGGGAUAACACUGGGAAACCGGCGCUAAUACCGGAUAUGCUCACGAAAGACACAAGUCUGGGUGAGGAAAGGAGCAAUCCGCAUCGAGAGGGGUCCGCGUCCCAUUAGCUGGUUGGAGGUGUAAGAGACCCCCAAGGCGACGAUGGGUAGCCGGCCUGAGAGGGUGGACGGCCACACUGGAACUGAGACACGGUCCAGACUCCUACGGGAGGCAGCAGUGGGGAAUCUUCCGCAAUGGGCGCAAGCCUGACGGAGCAACGCCGCGUGAAUGAAGAAGGCUUUCGGGUUGUAAAAUUCUGUCUUCAGGGAAGAAGAAAGUGACGGUACCUGAGGAGGAAGCCCUGGCUAACUACGUGCCAGCAGCCGCGGUAAAACGUAGGGGGCGAGCGUUGUCCGGAAUUACUGGGCGUAAAGGGCGCGUAGGCGGUUUAUUAAGUCUCUAGGUAAAAACUAUCGGCUCAACCGGUAGCGGUCCUGAGAAACUGGUAGACUUGAGGGCAGGAGAGGGGAGUGGAAUUCCCAGUGUAGCGGUGAAAUGCGUAGAUAUUGGGAGGAACACCAGUGGCGAAGGC
rnacentral:rRNA from 1 species